AGAACAAAUGAUGAAUAAAAAAAGUCUUACCUACAUUAUUUGAAUAUUAUGAAAAAUGCAAAAUAAAUUCUGAUGUUCU
rnacentral:snoRNA from 1 species